rnacentral:lncRNA from 1 species
CUGGGGUUCUUGGGAAAUAUUAGCAUCAAGGAGGACACAACUGGGUGAGAGUGGCUUAAAGGGGAAUUAGGGAUGGGACAUUUGGAGAUGGCUUUGCGCUUUGUGAUUCUUAAUCCACCUGAAAAGACAUGGACUACCCGGCAGGCCCUUGGGUCACUGCCCACAUACUUCCUCCAGCAGACUGACCUUCGAGUAGGAUGAGCAGCUCUCAUGAUGACUGUCCCCUCGAGUGGCAGUCAGGGCACCUCAAGCUUCCUGACACAUGAUAAAAAGGCUUCAGGCUGGAAAACCCAUAUUCUGCUUCUAACAAGCCAAGUUGUCAUGGCACGCCAUGGCUGAUGUCCACUCCUGGGGAUACACCCUGAAGCAGAUCAAAGUGACAAAUCUCCAGACAUUUGAGUGCCCUAAGGAUCAUGCCUGUCUAACUUGGUAUGUAUCUCAUGAGCUUAAUUCAGCAUGAUGUCUUGAAUGUCAUGGACAUGUCCUUCCAUCGGCGUCCUUACAUCACGGUUGACCAAGUACAUCAUUCUUCUGCAUGGCAAACUGCUACUGCAUGAGCAGCAGCAUCCUUACAGAUGUUUCCAUUUCAUCCAGAUUGAUGUAAUCCUUAGUCCUAGUGAGGAUCCUAUUCUCUACGUUUAUGUAAAUAUAUUAUCUUUCUCUUUUGGAAGAUUCAUUUUUACCCCUCACUAUUAGGAAGGCUCCUUCGAUGGUGGCUGGCCCUACCUUAUAUUUACCCCUGAUAGUGUUUGUCCAACUUCCCAACCAACUUUAAUUAAAACUCACAAUCUGACCAUCCUGGCUAACAUGGUGAAACCCCAUCUCUACUAAAAGUAAAAAAAUUAGCCAG